GGUUAACUAAGUUCUUUUCUUUCAGCCAGCAUCGCGACGGAAGAGAAAAUGAUCAUCGAACCAUUGCCCAUUCGCAUCGAUUUCCGAUCGUUUCGAAAUGUGGGGACUCGUUCUCUUCUUCUGUGGAUUGGGAGGUAGGUUAAUCUUGCAUUCGUUACCAAUAAUUUUGUUGUUCGAUUCAUUCAGCGAAGUUUUUUUAAACAGUUUGUCAUUCGAAAGAAGAUUUUCUGAAAACUUUUCUUUUAUUUUGUGCUGGAAUUUGUGAGGAACCGCCAUGGCGAGUAACACGUGGAUUCUCUGAUUGGUGAGGUGCUAGGCAAGGUUGGAGGAGAAGAAAAAAAAGGACUACUCCCAUCAAAAUACUGGUUUUUCUAGCGGUGGCGAGAGCAACUAAGCAUGCAGCACAGAUUGACAUGAUCCUAGAGGAAGGUGAGUGAUUGGGGGAUCUUUCUGAGAUCAAUAUGUACCAGAUGCAUCAACGUCGUAGCUGGAUGCACCAGAAGUCAUGAAGCCUGAAAAUAACAAGUUAUAUUGCUUGCGCACUUAAACGCAGAGCUACUAAAGCAAAACUUCACAGCGCAGUAAGGCAUUUUUCGGACAAUUUUUAAACUGCAUCGCAUCUCGGACCAAUAUAACGAAUUCAAUUCAUGUUUAUCUCAUGACGAACUUCACAGCUGGAAGAAGUAGCUUUAUCUAUCAUAACUAAUGGCCUCUUUGAUCAAGAUACAAGGAAUGUAUCGACAAGGUGGAGGGCUGGCUAGCUAGUGAAGCAGCUGUAGUGAGGGAGGACAAGCCAGCCACAUGCAACUGAAUUGAACAAGUAGACCACUUAUAGACAUUGAUUGUUAGAUAAAAAAGUGUUAAAAAGUUUCUUGAUUUAAAAGAAAAUUGAGAUGUGUCAGAGUAGAAAAUGUGUGUUAAUUAAGGCAGUUGUUCACUAGGACAGGGGGUAGUUCCACCCCUUAAUUGCCCCUCAUAAUGAAGCUACAAGAAAAGCUCACAAUGCAUCCAUGAACUUGUGCUUCCAUGGCUCUAUACUCGUAUCCCCUCUUUCUUUGGUUUAUUUACUUCAUUAAUACAACAAUGAGUCCAGUAAUUAACAGGUAUUUAACAGGACAGUGCAUGCGGAUACAAAUAAUUAAUUAAUCAAUUAAGCUUUUGUUGAUUAAUUAGGGGCGACCAAGAAUUAAUCAUCAUAA